rnacentral:rRNA from 1 species
UACGGGGGGGGUAAGCGUUGUUCGGAAUUACUGGGCGUAAAGGGCUCGUAGGCGGCCAACUAAGUCAUACGUGAAAUCCCUCAGCUUAACUGGGGAACUGCGUGUGAUACUGGAUGGCUUGGAUUUGGGAGAGGGAUGCGGAAUUCCUGGUGUAGCGGUGAAAUGCGCAGAUAUCAGGAGGAACACCGAUGGCGAAGGCAGGUCUCUGGGCCGAUACUGACGCUGAGGAGCGAAAGCGUGGGGAGCGAACAGG